rnacentral:rRNA from 1 species
GCUGCAUUUAAAAGCUCGUAGUUGGAUCUAGGAGUUCCUGACGUCGGUUCUUUCAGGAGAUACUGACNCUUGGACUUCUACAUUUUGCGGUUCGGGGCGAANUGCCCUUAAUUGGGUGCUCGUACUGGCCGCANCGUUUACCUUGAAAAAAUUAGAGUGCUCAAAGCAGGCCCGACGCCUGGAUAGUCUAGCAUGGAAUAAUGGAACAGGACCUCGGUCCAGUUUUGUUGGUUUCGAGGACAGAGGUAAUGAUUAAGAGGGACAGGCGGGGGCAUCCGUACUGUGGCGUUAGAGGUGAAAUUCUUGGAUCGCCGCAUGACGAACUAGUGCGAAAGCAUUUGCCAAGGAUGUUUCCAUUAAUCAAGAACGAAAGUUAGAGGAUCGAAGGCGAUCAGAUACCGCCGUAGUUCUAACCAUAAACGAUGCCGACCGGCAAUCUGCAAAAGAGAUUUAUCAUUGCAGGCAGCCCCGGGGAAACCAGAGUUUUCAGGUUAUGGGGGAAGUAUGGUUGCAAAGCUGAAACUUAAAGGAAUUGACGGAAGGGCACCACCAGGAGUGGAGCCUGCGGCUUAAUUUGACUCAACACGGGAAAACUCACCCGGCCCGGACACAGUGAGGAUUGACAGAUUGAAAGCUCUUUCUUGAUUCUGUGGGUGGUGGUGCAUGGCCGUUCUUAGUUGGUGGAGUGAUUUGUCUGGUUAAUUCCGAUAACGAACGAGACUCCAACCUGCUAAAUAGACGUCGGUGCCUAACGGCUCUYGACGGCUUCUUAGAGGGACAAUCGGCGCUUAGCCGGAUGAGAUGGAGCAAUAACAGGUCUGUGAUGCCCUUAGAUGUUCGGGGCCGCACGCGCGCUACACUGAAAGAGUCAACGUGUGCCUACCCUGUCCCGAAUGGGAUGGGUAACCCUCUUAGCCCCUUUCGUGCUGGGGAUAGGGAAUUGCAAUUAUUUCCCUUGAACGAGGAAUUCCUAGUAAGUGCAAGUCAUAAGCUUGCACUGAUUAC